UCCAGUGACAUCGCCAGGGCCUGGCAGGUGGCAGGCAGAACAAGAGCCACAUCACUAGUGGGAAGGACCCCAAGGAUGCAGUCUGGACCACCUGCUCUCCUGUGCGCAGUCGUGGCCCUCAUCUGCCUUGGUUCCAACAAUGUUGAGAGCGCCAAUGUACCUACAGUGUAUAAAAAGGAGGGGGAAUCUGUGACCGUGGAAUGCAAGUUCUCAGUCAGCUAUACUUACUACAUGAUGUACUGGUAUCGACAGCCUUCCAGCGGAGAGAUGAUUUACAUGGUUAAUAUUUAUUCUCAAAGCAAGCACACAAGGGAAGGACGAUAUUCCGUGGAAUUUUACAAACCCAACCAAAUGCUGAAACUCACCAUCUCAGCCUUGACGCUGAGUGACUCGGCCAUCUAUUUCUGUGCUGUCAGAGAGUUCCACGGUGAGGGUAGUGACAGGAAGCGCCUUACAAAAACCCCCAGGGCUCCGCACGAGACAGCCACCUGCUCCAGGAGAAGACAACCCACAGAACAGGAAGAGGGAAGACACAGGCAUGAUGGGUGGUUCUGCUGGAUCUAG